GCCAGCAGUGACUGCCAGUGCCAGUUUUCAAAGGCCCAACCAGAACCGUUCCUGUGGCAGCUUCAUUUUCCUAACUCCAUAAAACCCCAACCUGUUUACAAUAAAGAGCUUCUGUAUGGCAAUCUCCCGGAGUCUGUGCCGCUGACUUCUCGUCUUCUCUCCUCCCCUCCCCCCAGAGAAACAGGGACUGCACACAGGCAGCAGCAACAAGCCAGCAAAAACUACAAGAGGCAAUACACAGAGCACCAAUUAUUCCCCACACCCCGGUAUUCAGUGCCUGUUUGUUGGGGACAUCCAAACUGGGAAUGUAGGACUGAAUAUGAUCACAUCUGGAUUGAACCAGCAGGAAGGAUCUGGCCCGGGUGCAGGUCCACCUCUAGGGAAGUGCACCGGGGGCCCAGCAGAGCGCAGGGAGCCUCGGAUGGGAUCCAGCAGGUGGGUGGUAACGAGCCGGUCUCCUGAUGCAUCUGUGUCCAGCAGCACAAAGGAGGGCUCCUCAGUUCUUCCCAGGUCCCCGCAAAAGCCAGAGACUUGGGCUUCCUGAACUUGGCGGGCCACAGAUGCGCCUGACACCCAGCCACCACCCACAGCUGCUCUGGCUCUCAUCACUCCCCCAGCCAACAGGAAGACAGCGUCGUAGAUGGUUCCGAACAGUGGAGAGACCUAGAGGAGAGCAGAGUGAGGACUUAGAGCCCAUAAAUGGUGAGAAUUCGCUGGCCUGCAGGUCCCUUUAUUAGCUCCACUGAUUCUGAGGGUGCCGAUCUCCAUCCUCCCCAUUGUCUGUUGGUGUAGACUGCACCGCUUUUAGGAACUGAGUUCUCCUGUCACCACGACUGUGACUCGCCAUAGCCCAGACCUUCCUAUCUAGGUUGUUGCCUGGCUUAUACUUUUAACGCCGUCACCUGCCAUUCAUCUAAAGCCCACCCCCAUCCUUUGUUCAUGUCUUUCUGUUGUUGUUUAUUUAAUUUAUUGAGUCAUGGUCUUUCUAAAUUGCUGAGACUGACCUUAACCUCAUUCUAUAGCCUAGGCAGAUGUUGGAUCUACCUUUAUUCCUGCCUUCCUUCCUCCUUCCUCUCUCUUUUUCACUCUCUUACACACACACACACACACACACAGGGUCUUUGUGUUAUGUAACCCAGACAGGCCUGGAACUUCUGAACCUCCUGUUUCUAGGUGGGAACUCGGCAGACAGUGGUACAUCCCCAGCCAGAUGCUGAAGUUUUGAUGCUCCUGCUUCAGCCUUUUAAGUAGCAAGGAUUACUGGCCCACAUUACCAGGCCUGGCUUGGGUAUCAGUGUUUCUUCCAUCCUGACUCCAAAGAGGCACUACCAUUGCUACCUCUCCUCACCACUAUUCCCAAUUCCUAUUUCUUGGGAUGGUGAAUGCCAUGGAACACUAGUGACACCGUGUUGUGUGUGUGAAUCCUCUGCUAUGAGUGAACUUUCCUUCCGUUUAGGGAGAGAGACAAGGUUAAGGAAGUGCAAUAGUGAAGGGGCAGGGAAGUGGGAGGGACGAGAAGGAGGGAGGAAGAGGUGGAAGGUUUUGGGAGUAGUGACUCUCCCCCAGGUCACGAAUCAGAAUUAUCUAGGGGAGAAUGGGGCAGAAGAAAAACCGAGAGGACACAUUCAGGGAACCGAAAGUGGCUUAGUCUGGCCAAAGCUCAUGGACGAUGUGAGACUCAAGUCCUGCUAGGCCAUGCGAGGAGCCCUCCGUCUAGACAGAGCAAUGGAGGUCCCCAACUCAGGGUGCAGGACGCCAUUCACAAACAACCAGGAGGCUCUGAACCAUGGCUGGAAAAUGUACAGCACACCCCAUUUCUGAAGCCAGAUCUCUCGGUUGAUGGAGAGAAGCUGGGUCACUCGAGAGAUGGGAGAUUCCAGAAAUGCUGCGGCCGGAGUCAGCGCAGUGUCAGCAAGGGAGAAGAGUAUGAAAUACUGCGGCCUGAGUCAGGGCAGUAUCAACGAGGGAGGAGAGUAUGAAGGGAGUCUAAUGACCCGCAGGAAAAAAAAGCAACCGGGCUUCAUGCCUGGGUUUGUGGGGGACUAAGGGGAGAACCGGGUCUCCAGCGUGGACAGCUGGCAGCACCACUGACUGACAGCUAAUGAAAGCAUCUUUGCCCCUCACCUUUCCCUCUCCUUCCACUGACUGACAGAUUCCCCCAUCCCAUCUCACUCUUUAUUGAUUAUGUUGUUCUUUCUUCUUUCCUGUCCCAAAUGUCUCUGUGGAGAAGUCUAGAAGCAUUGGUGGGGAACGGUUCAGCAUGCCUCUGCACCCCACUCCCCACCUUAGCCUUCUUUCGGGGGGUCCCUUUUGAGUAUGGUUAUGGAUAUUUAUUCAUUUGGAAAAAUUGAUCCUAAGACUUCACACUAUUCCAGCAAGCAUCCUUCACUGUGCUGUCUAACCGUCUCUUGUUUUUGAGACAGGCCCCUCAGUUGACCAGACCCGCCUUGAAUUUACUCUACAGCUCAGAAAGGCCCUGCUCCUUCUGUUCUCCUUCCUCAAUCUUCCGAGUGUCUGAGACUGCAAACCCACGUCACGAUGCCCGGCUGAGUACAACCUUCUUGAUUGCUAAUUUUCUUCCCACUGAUAUCUAGCUUCCUUUCUGCCUCACUCGCUUCUAGACUCCCCGUGUGACUGGGGCGGAAUUAGAUGAUCUAAAUUGGAAUCCGGGAGAUCAAGGAAUUCUGAUUACUACCUGGGUGUUGGAAACUGCCUUUGGAUCUGAUUAUAGAGCCCCAACCUCAAGCAGUUGCGACCAGAGAACAAAGUUAAGACCCCAGAAGAAAUGUCUCUGAGCUAGGUGUGAAGGGUGAAUCUGCAUCCCUUGCCGUUCCCAGAACACCAGCUGCUUGGUAUGGAAGUCCCCGAGGUACUGGGAUAAACCUGCUGUGAAGAAAACUAAAAAUGUCGUGGCCAUUUAGGGUUUACUCCUUGGAGCUGGAUUUGAGAGGUCUCAUUGCCUACUCUCGGGGGUAAUCAUAGUAAUGCCCGAAGCAAGACCAGAACUUCUACAGCAUCCAGAAAACUCCAGAUCAGCGUGGCUGCUUAAGGUUCACUCCCUAUUGACUCCACCUCCCCUUUCCCACUGGCUCCACCCUCCUCUUUCCCACUGGCUCCACCCUCCCCUUUCCUACUGGCUUCAUUAUCCUCAUUCCCAUUGACUCCACCUCCCCUUUCCCACUGGUUCUACCCUUCCCUUUCCCACUGUCUUCACCUCCCCUUUCCCACUGGCUCCACUCCACUGUCUCCACCCUCCCCUUUCCCACUGGUUCCACCCUCCCCUUUCCCAUCGACUCCACCUCCCCUUUCCUAUGGUCUCCACCCUCCCCUUUCCCACUGUCUCCACCCUCCCAUUUCCCACUCUCGUCUUUCUGCUGGUUCCAUCCUUCUCUCCUUGUCUGCUUUUGCUCACUUCCCUGGUUCUCCUCCCUUGUCUCUAUUCAUUAGUCCGUCUACCUGCUGCAGGUUGAGGUCAGCGGGCAGCUCCUGGUGCUCUUGGGCCCUGCGCAGGCUGUCCUGCACGCUGCCUCCCGGAGGACAGUGGCGUGUGAGUGUGAGCACAGCAUCGUGUGCUCUGCGAAGCUGGGAGCUGUUGAUAAGUGGAGCCAGAGCCUCCGGGCCUGGAGACAACGCAUAGUGAAGCGUGUCGAAGGGCAGGAAGACCAGAGAGCCAUCAGCUAGGCCCAGCUCUUCUGCAGCUUCCAGCAGGUAGCGCUGCUCCUCGCCGCCCAGCAGCACCGAGUGCAUCACCAUGAUCACUACUGCAGACACAGAGGCUGGCUCGCUACACUGCCCGCUACCCGCAGGACCCGCCCAUCUCCCCUCACCUGGGAGCCUACCUCUAACUCUAGGGCCGUCCUGGAUCCUCCUGAGAGCCUCCCGAGCUCCAGACAGGUCUGAGGACUCCAUGGAGGUCACUGGGGCAACUGGCAAGCCCCGGGCCCUGAGUGCUGUAGACAGAACACGUCCCGCCUCCACCCACAGGUCCUGGGGCGCAGUGAUGAGGGCCAAGCGUGCCCAGCGGAAUGCUCGAAGAAGGACGUAGAGAGCAUCUGCAGCGGGGGUCACCGCCGGGGCUGUAGUACCCGCCGCCCGCGUGCCUGGGCAGCCCCAGGGUACCAGCGCUACUCCAGCCUCCUGGGCUAGUAGUUCAGCUGGCCGGCAGGCUGCGGGGUUCACUGGACCCACCAGACCAGAGACUCGAGAUAGCGCUGAGGACACAGCCCCUAGAGAGCCCGGGGUCAGGCAGGGCUCUGGCAGCAACGCAACCUCGAAUCGGGGUCCGCUGUCUAGGGCAAGGUCACGAUUCAGGCGGUCGGCGGCCAGACGCGCAGCCAGAUCCGGGCGGGCCCGGGCAAAGAUGGGGUCGCAAGUCCAGGGGCCCAGGAUCCCCACUUUGAACACGGCCGAGAGGGCAGCAGGCGGCGGGAGCAGUAACAGGAGCAGGAGUCCGGGCAGCCGAGACCCUGGCCAGCACAGGACCCGAGAAAGGCUGGACGAGGACUGCCACACAGAGACGCAGGACCUGGCGUCGGGAAGCCCACUCGCUGACAGGAGCCACGCGGUCAUUGCCUGCUUCUGUGAACACAGAGCAAGCAAGGGGACAGCUGAGAUCCCUAGAGCUCCCUUAGGGUUCUCCACUCUAGCCGGAUUUUCAAAUCCCUCCCAACCCUAAGGGUGUCUAGGCUUUCCACACACUUGGACCCUAGAUGGGGGCAGGGCACCGCCCCAAGGCCUCUUUGGCCUAGCCUGGCCUGGCCUGCUCGUCCCAGCUUGUUUAUUUGUUUAUCCUCCCUCCCCAGUCACUAUCCUCAGGUUCCGAGAAGAUACUCCCACGCCCUCACACAGGACCCGAGUCCACCUACUCGGAGUAGUCCAUUUACUACUUACCAGUUGUCUCCGCAAAAAUUGUAUCAGCUAAGAAUCAUCCCUGGAACUGGGCGGUGGUGGCACACACCUUGAAUCCCAGCACUCUGGAGGCAGAGGCAGUCGGAUCUCCGAGUUCAAGGCCAGCCUGGUCUAAAGAGCCAGACUGAUCUAAAGUGCUACAAAGAGAAACCCCGUCUCGAAAAACCAAAAAGAGUAAAAAAUUAAAAAAGAAAAACGAUUCAUCUGUGGAUACUAAAGCUAAGCGGGAAAUUUGAAGACCGACCGGAUGUUUUGUUUCCCAUGGUUAUAAACUGUCACUCCAUCUGUCCGCUUGUAGGUUGGAGGACAGCAGGCAUAGAAUUGUUGCAAUUUUAAUUGUAAAAAAACUCUCUAUAGUUUGGUGUUCUGGCCUUUAAUCCCAGCACAAGGGAAGCAAAGGCAGGUGGAUCU